GAUGAAGAACGUAGCGAAAUGCGAUAAGUAAUGUGAAUUGCAGAAUUCAGUGAAUCAUCGAAUCUUUGAACGCACAUUGCGCCCGACAGUAUUCUGGCGGGCAUGCCUGUUCGAGCGUCAUUUCAACCAUCAAGCCCCCGGCUUGUGUUGGGGACCUGCGGCUGCCGCAGGCCCUGAAAAGCAGUGGCGGGCUCGCUGUCACACCGAGCGUAGUAGCAUACAUCUCGCUCUGGGCGUGCUGCGGGUUCCGGCCGUUAAACCACCUUCAUAACCCAAGGUUGACCUCGGAUCAGGUAGGAAGACCCGCUGAACUUAAGCAUAUCAAUAAGCGGAGGA
rnacentral:misc_RNA from 1 species